rnacentral:rRNA from 1 species
GGAUUAGAUACCCUGGUAGUCCACGCCGUAAACGAUGACAACCAGCUGUUGGGAAGCAACGCUUUUCAGUGGCGCAGCUAACGCAUUAAGUUGUCCGCCUGGGGAGUACGGCCGCAAGGCUAAAACUCAAAUGAAUUGACGGGGACCCGCACAAGCGGUGGAGCAUGUGGUUUAAUUCGAUGCAACGCGAAAAACCUUACCUACACUUGACAUACUUGGUAUCUUCUGUAAUCGAAGAGUGCCUUUUGGAACCAAGAUACAGGUGCUGCAUGGCUGUCGUCAGCUCGUGCCG